CCGAACUUGGAGGUAGUCCAUAGAGGUGCUACGCUAAGGGUGGGCACGUAGCUACUCCGCGGGACAGGGAGGCGGAGAGCCGGGCGAGGCGCGAGACCCCGCGGCCUCUGCCAUCGAUCUCAAAACCCGAGCCCUGUCAGCCGUCGAUCCGUACCCCUUUCACAGAACCCUGACGCCGCGCCGCUAAGCUCACCGCAUGGGAAUCGAAGAACAGCACGCCAAGCCCUCCAACAUCCGCGGCACCACUGGCGGCGGCGGUGGAGCGGCCACCUUCUCCGCCGCACUGCUGGCAUUGCGCCCUCCGUCCGCCGUCUCCUCCCCUUACCCCUGGGGAAGCCAGGAGGAAGUAUCCAGCAUACUGGUUCUACUCGAUACAACAAUGCUACUGCUGAAUCAUCUCAAAGUGGUAGGAGGCCUGCUACAAAAGUCCCAGUUUCAGAUAAAGGGAGGGCAGUAUUACCAUGGCCUACCACUAUUCAAGCCGUAGCAUCUUCGUAUAUGAUGGCUGGACAGAAAGGGCUUGUGCCUGAACAGAGCUGGAUGAUGAUAAGAAGGGUUAGAAGAAGAGAGUGAACUUAAGAGGCAAAGAACGAAGCAGUCGAAUAGGGAGUCAACAAGGAGGUAAAGACUUCAGAAGCAGCAAGAAUGCCAGGAUUUGGCAAGGAGGGUGGAUGUGCUGAACCGCGAGAACAGUGCACAUAGACAUGAGCUUGAACUACUUGACAAAGACUGCAAGAAGCUGGAUUCAGAAAAUGCAUCAAUUGCAGAGCUGAGUAAAAAUCUUCCCUUUGAAGGCAUUUUUAGUGGUGAUUCACCAACCAUGCAUUCAAUUGAUGCUGAAAGCAGCAAUCAUCUUCAUCAUAGGUUGGUGGGAUUCAGUCGGCUCAACUUCAAUGGUUAAGCCUAGAGUUAGAUGAGGAAGAACUCUUUUCCUUCUGUCAUUGUUUUCAGGGCCUUUAACUCUGUGAUAUGCUUGAAUACAUGUACCUCUCCACAGGUUUUUGACCCAUCUUUAAUCAGUAGUUCUUGUUUGUAUGUGUUUUGGGAAUCUGUUAUCAAUUAUAAGAAAUAAGCAUAACGACUUCUGUGCGGUGAC